rnacentral:lncRNA from 1 species
GUAACUUCAUCUUCUCAACUAAACCAAGACCCCCCCCCCCCCAAAUCAAAAAUAUCUCAUGCCGCUAGACCCCAGCAGCGGCAGACCCAUCGAUCUCCAUAGACGACAAAAAUCGGACCAUCUCUUUACAACUCUAAGAAGAACAACGGCCUCCUCUCUUUGGCACUAUCAUUUUUUAGGUUUCUGUUUUUUUAGAUUUUCCAGUUCUUGUAGCUUGAAAAAAAAAUUGCUGCUUUCAAUUUCGAGUGUUCGAGUUUCCGCGCGUCAGGCAUAUAAGUGAAUGAACAACAGUGGAAAAUAGAGUGAUUACUGUUGCGAUUUUGGAUUAGUUCGAAUCUCUUGAAUCAAUGUCCCAUUUUGAUGGAGGUCAUUUGGCUUCGAGUUUUUCCGGGUCUGUUUGAGGUUUCCGGUGAGACGUUCCAAGAGAGAUCUUGUCUGUGGUUUUGAAAUUUCAGAUUUUGCUACUGAGGUCCAAUUCUCUUACUUAUUGCCUUAAUAUUUUUCUCUGUUGAAAUGACAGUGGCAUAAAUUUUUUAUGAACUAUGUGUUAUUUUGUGAAUUGCUUGUGAUUAGACCAUCGAUGUUAUUACUUAUUUGAGUUAUAGUUAUUCUUUUCUUCAGUUGAAUGAAUUUUAUUGAUGUGAUUAAUUUGAGAAUUGGGCUUGGAUUCUAGAUAAAACAAAGUGGAAUUGGGAUUAAGUUCACGUUCUUGUUUUAACCCAAAUAGGUCGUGGGGUUGGACAUUUAAUUUGGAAGAGAAAUUAAAACAUGAAUAUUUCGUUUAGUUUUAUUUUAUUGCUUUGGAUCACUUUAAGCAUUCUGGGUCGUAUGGUCUAGAAACUUGGAUAAUUGAAUUGAAGUCUUGAACUAUUUUGGGCAUGUUAACUAGGUUAGUUUUUUUUUUACAAUUUUAUAUUCAUAAUUCUUGGCAUCUCAAUAAUUUCAAAGUAAUUUGGGGAAAUAAUCCAUUAGUGCGUUAGAAUGCUUUAGGCGUUUUUUUUAUUUAUUUAAUUGAAUUAUUGUGAUUGUGUACACGUUCGCGUAACAUAAUUAUGAUUCUAAAAACUAAAUCGGAGUAUGCGUUCGUGCAACUUCGAUCAAACUUUCUUAAUAAUAGUUAUUAAUAUAAUCCCCUUUAAUUAAUUUUAGUUCAUAUAGUCCGAGGUGUGCCAUCCACCAUUUAAUCAUACAUGGUCCUCGUAUUAAUUUCGUAACCUAGAUAUAAAAAUGACAAAUGCUCGUAGUUACUUUAGGCCCGUUUAAUAUACCAUCGUGAUGGCGUACACGUUCGCGUGACGGGAUUACGAUUUUAAAAACAAAACCGGAGUAUGCGUUCGAGCAACUUUGACCAAACUUUUCUUAAUAAUAAUAAAGCAUUAUUAAUUGUGGGCACAUUCACGUGACAUGAUUUUUGAUGCGCCAAAUAAAUAGGUACACGUACGCGUGACCCGUUUCAAGAUAAUUUCUCAAUUAAAAGCAGCAAAUGCACGUAGGUUCUAAAAUCAGUAAUUAGACAAAUUGAUUAAGCCAAGUAUGAUCAAAGCGGCCGUGCUAGAACCACGGAACUCGGGAAUUCCUAACACCUUCUUCCGGGUUAACAGAAUUCCUUACCUGGAUUUCUGUGUUCGUAGACCGUAAAUAGAGUCAAAUUUCCUCGAUUCGGGAUUUCAAACCAGUGACUUGGGACACCACAAAUUAUCCCAAGUGGCGAAUCUGAAUCUAAUAAUUAAUCUCGUUUCGAUUGUCACUUAAAUUGGAAAAAACUCCUUUAUCCCCUUUCGGGGGGUAGGUAAAAAGGAGGUGUCACAGCUUUGACGACUCUACUGGGGAUAAGAACCCAGAAUCUCUGGUUCAGGGUUCAUGAAUUCUAGCUUGUUAAUAUGAUUUUUAUGUGGCUUUAUUUAUUGUUGAUAUUACUGUAUUCUGUGAACCUUUUGUGCUAAAUGCUAUAUGUUUACUGCUUUAAUAUUAUUUGAAUUGUAUAUAAUCGUCUUCUUACGCCACCCUCUGAGACUUUUGAAAAUGGUGCACACGUUCGCGUGGCCCGCUUUUUCUGUAGAAAUUAUACCAAAUAGAACGAGGUUGGGCCAGCAACAAGGCCGGGUAGACUUUAGUGCUCCCGGUACAUUGCCCCCUCUUCGGCCCCAGUUGUCCACUCGGGUAACCCAAGUCUAGAACACAACCCUAGGAUUUAAACCUAGAAAAAUACAGCCUCAUGUCGAAUCCCUAGUAGAAACGUUUGUUUGCACCAUGUGCAUUUGACUUAGGGGACUCAACAUAGGGGUUAGGUCCAUCUAGGACAGGUGUAUCCAAAAUAACAGACCAUCUUAAUGCAUCCUACGUGCUACAUGUUGCAUUUCUUCAAGGGUAAAAGGGUUAUUUGGCGGACCAAUGAUAAUGAGGGCGAAUGAAAAAAAAGAAAAAAAUGAAAAAAAGAGGGUGAAGUGUGAGGAUAAAGCGAGUAGGACCCAAUUAUGUUUUCUGUCGCAUUUUUAUUAAGAAAAAAAUAUGAAAAAUCCAUAAAGAUUUUUCAAUUUUUUCUCAUUUUUCGAAAAUCAAAAAAAAGGAAAAGAAAAUCCAAAAAGAGUUACAAGGAUGCAUUAGGUUCUUGAACUACGCGAACUUGAUUCUCGUCUCUUGGGGCGGGAUACAUAGGCACGCACAUAGGGUUCUGUCUUUCUUAGUGAGUUUAGGUUCUUGGUUUCAUGGGGUUUUAGCCAAAUCUUGCAUUCUUAUCCACUUUUAGCCACGUAGGUUAAUUUUAGAAAAAUAGUCACAACUAUGUCUUGCAUGUGUCUAGUAGGGAAUGUUAUUGUUUCACAUAGUGAUGGUUUCAGUUUUCUCAUACAGGUGUGGAUGUACUUACCAGAGUUUGAGCAUGACAGAUACCCCAAGAUCACUGCAUUCAGGAGCUGCCUGAGGAGCCUUUUAUGUUUUUGAAUCUAUUGUUCAUGUUUUACUUUCUUGUCAUGACCCAAAAUCUAACCAUGGUCGUGAUGGCGCCUAUCGUGUUACAAGGCAAGCCUACUUCCCAAAAUAUUGCUACUAAUUUCAUUAUAAAAAUUUAAUAAAAUAUUUCAACAUUUAAACUUUUCA